GUGCGCAUAGCUCAGCUGGAUAGAGCGUCUGGCUACGGACCAGAAGGUCGCGGGUUCGAAUCCUACUGCGCACG
rnacentral:tRNA from 1 species